rnacentral:rRNA from 1 species
CGAUAUGCUUUGGGGAGCUGUAAGUAAGCUAUGAUCCAGAGAUUUCCGAAUGGGGGAACCCAAUAUCUUUUAUAGGAUAUUACUUUUCAGUGAAUACAUAGCUGAUUAGAGGUAGACGCAGAGAACUGAAACAUCUUAGUACCUGCAGGAAGAGAAAGAAAAUUCGAUUCCCUGAGUAGCGGCGAGCGAAACGGGAAGAGCCCAAACCAACAAGCUUGCUUGUUGGGGUUGUAGGACUCCAAUAUGGUAGUCUGUUAGUAUAGUUGAAGGAUUUGGAAAAUUCCGCUAAAGAGGGUGAAAGCCCCGUAGACGAAAUGCUAACAACACCUAGGAGGAUCCUGAGUACGGCGGAACACGAGAAAUUCCGUCGGAAUCCGCGGGGACCAUCCCGCAAGGCUAAAUACUCCCUAGUGACCGAUAGUGAACCAGUACCGUGAGGGAAAGGUGAAAAGCACCCCGGAAGGGGAGUGAAAUAGAUCCUGAAACCGUGUGCCUACAACAAGUCAAAGCUCGUUAAUGAGUGAUGGCGUGCCUUUUGUAGAAUGAACCGGCGAGUUACGAUUGCAUGCGAGGUUAAGUCGAAGAGACGGAGCCGCAGCGAAAGCGAGUCUGAAUAGGGCGAAUGAGUAUGUAGUCGUAGACCCGAAACCAUGUGAUCUACCCAUGUCCAGGUUGAAGGUGCGGUAAAACGCACUGGAGGACCGAACCCACGUACGUUGAAAAGUGCGGGGAUGAGGUGUGGGUAGCGGAGAAAUUCCAAACGAACUUGGAGAUAGCUGGUUCUCUCCGAAAUAGCUUUAGGGCUAGCCUCGGAAUUGAGAAUGAUGGAGGUAGAGCACUGUUUGGACUAGGGGCCCAUCUCGGGUUACCGAAUUCAGAUAAACUCCGAAUGCCAUUCAUUUAUAUCCGGGAGUCAGACUGCGAGUGAUAAGAUCCGUAGUCGAAAGGGAAACAGCCCAGACCACCAGCUAAGGUCCCAAAAUAUAUGUUAAGUGGAAAAGGAUGUGGGGUUGCACAGACAACUAGGAUGUUGGCUUAGAAGCAGCCACCAUUUAAAGAGUGCGUAAUAGCUCACUAGUCGAGUGACCCUGCGCCGAAAAUGUACCGGGGCUAAACAUAUUACCGAAGCUGUGGACUACACCAUUAGGUGUAGUGGUAGGAGAGCGUUCUAAGGGCGUUGAAGGUCGAUCGUGAGGACGGCUGGAGCGCUUAGAAGUGAGAAUGCCGGUAUGAGUAGCGAAAGACAGGUGAGAAUCCUGUCCACCGUAUGACUAAGGUUUCCUGGGGAAGGCUCGUCCGCCCAGGGUUAGUCGGGACCUAAGCCGAGGCCGAUAGGCGUAGGCGAUGGACAACAGGUUGAUAUUCCUGUACCAGUUGUUUUUGUUUGAGCAAUGGAGGGACGCAGUAGGCUAAGGAAUGCAUGCGAUUGGAAGUGCAUGUCCAAGCAAUGAGUCUUGAG